UACAGAGGUCUCAAGCGUUGUUCGGAUUCAUUGGGCGUAAAGGGUGCGCAGGCGGCGAGGCAAGUCGGACGUGAAAUCCCGGGGCUUAACCCCGAAACUGCAUUCGAUACUGCCGUGCUUGAGGACUGGAGAGGAGACUGGAAUUUACGGUGUAGCGGUGAAAUGCGUAGAUAUCAGGAGGAACACCGGUGGCGAAGGCGGGUCUCUGGGCAGUAACUGACGCUGAGGAGCGAAAGCGUGGGGAGCGAACAGG
rnacentral:rRNA from 1 species